CGCCUCAAUAAAUGAUCUGAACAUAAUUUUUGAAGUUUCUUGGCCUGUUUCACUACGGCUGGAGGGCUGCAGAGCUCUUGACGUGUCAAUGUUCUCACUGCAGUGGCAUCCUAGCGUGGAGGAAUACCCACCUCUGGGAACACGUGGAGCCACGGUAAGCCUGCUGCUUUCCCUUCUGGGGAAGGAAACAAAGUUUUCAUUAGGACUGAAUUGGUCUGUAAUGUGGAGAGACUCCUGUAUUCUCCCUGCCUUGGUUUGUAUUUGGAAAGCAUCACACUUCUCCUGGUUCUUAUUAUAGGAGAUGCUCUUUCUUUUGUUUCAAAAUAAAUGAUGAAAAAACAGGAAAAUUCAAAAGAACCUAGGAUGAGGGGGAAGAGAAAGGUGUGAUUUUCCUUUUCCUAAUGACAGCCUAUUGGAAACCUCAAAAGCCCAUGCCAGUGGCACCAUCUGCCCAAAGAUCCCAAAGCAUUUUACAAACAUCAGCAGACCCACCUGCCACAGAUGGCUGUGAGCGAGAAUCAUGAACCAGGAGUUGCCUCAGGAUUAACAAAGUGUUGGAGGUUAAUUGGCACAUUGACGUCCCAGGUCUCCACACCAAGAAAAUGGCCGGGUGGGGAGCAGAGCCUGGAGGAAUUUCCUGCACGAAGCGUGUCGGACCCCUCAGACUGCCUCCUCCAGGGUCCUGCCUGAUGGCACACCGAAGAAAGAGCAAAACCAGAAACUGAAGACAGGCAACCCAGGUUUGGAAUUUCCCACGAAACAAUACAGAAGUCAAGAUGCAGAUGCAAACAAUACUGCUGGUGAAAAAAUAAAUUUUCCCAUCUCUGGACUCUGUGUCCGUCCUGGGUUUUGCAGCCUCUGCCCUCUCCUUGCCCAAUCUGCCUUUCAGUCUGUGUCUGGACAAUAUUUCGUGUGGGUUCAUGCAAUCCUGUCAGCGCCCUUUUUUUUUUUUUUUUUUUUAAUAUCAGAGUGGCAAUCAGGUGCCUGCCCCACUGACCACAAACUCAUAUCUCCUCCCUCCUCCUUCUCCUCCUUCUUUUUUCCUUGUCAAUUAAAAACAGUAAAAUCUAAGACCAAACAAAUCAAUGUUUACGGAUUUGUAAUAAGUUUCUUUCUACUUAUUUAUUUAUUUCCUCUUUAGUCACUAAAGAAGCAGCAGCAACUUGCGAGGAGCAGUUGUUGCCAGAGGGUGAAUCAUAGCUAUAUUGAUUUGAUUAUGUAAAAGCUCAGAGGAACCUAAAGCCAGAUACAGAAAUAUCUCAUAGUCUAAACCCUGUGGGACACACACUAGUAAAAAAGCAAUCUUUAUAUUGUUCCUGAUAAAAGCAUCAUUAGUUUCCUUGCAGUGAAACCAUUUCUCUGCUGAUACAGUAUAUGGUUUCCCUUUUCUCUAGAAUCCACUCAGACAUAAUUAACACUCAGUUACCAUCGACGCGGGUCGCUGCUGCCGGCUGGGCGGAGGGUGGGAAGGGCUGGGGCCACAGGGGUUGAGCUAAAACGCUAUGGAGAAUGAGGACUACACAGCUUUAUUUAUGCUUUUGUUUCCCUGCCACACGACUAAUAUCGGGACAGACUGAGACCGGCAUAAGCAAACUCAUUAACCUCAGGCAGAGAAAGUCUGUACGCUCACCGGUCUGAUUUCUCCGUGUAUACUGAAGGGAAACAUGAUCCCACCAUUCAGAAACCCAUCCUGCUUGGAUAUGACUCCACAAUAAAGAAGAGGUGUAUUGUGAGUGAAUUUGCUUC
rnacentral:lncRNA from 1 species